rnacentral:rRNA from 1 species
CAGCCGCCGCGGGAAUACGUUGGUGGCAAGCGUUGUCCGGAAUUAUUGGGCGUAAAGGGCUCGCAGGCGGUUUCUUAAGUCUGAUGUGAAAGCCCCCGGCUCAACCGGGGAGGGUCAUUGGAAACUGGGAAACUUGAGUGCAGAAGAGGAGAGUGGAAUUCCACGUGUAGCGGUGAAAUGCGUAGAGAUGUGGAGGAACACCAGUGGCGAAGGCGACUCUCUGGUCUGUAACUGACGCUGAGGAGCGAAAGCGUGGGGAGCGAACAGGAUUAGAUACCCGUGUAGUCCCUGUCUCUUAUAC